rnacentral:rRNA from 1 species
AGCGAACGCUGGCGGCAGGCCUAACACAUGCAAGUCGAACGAACUCUUCGGAGUUAGUGGCGGACGGGUGAGUAACACGUGGGAACGUGCCUUUAGGUUCGGAAUAACUCAGGGAAACUUGUGCUAAUACCGAAUGUUCCCUUCGGGGGAAAGAUUUAUCGCCUUUAGAGCGGCCCGCGUCUGAUUAGCUAGUUGGUGAGGUAAAGGCUCACCAAGGCGACGAUCAGUAGCUGGUCUGAGAGGAUGAUCAGCCACAUUGGGAAUGAGACACGGCCCAAACUCCUACGGGAGGCAGCAGUGGGGAAUCUUGCGCAAUAGGCGAAAGCCUGACGCAGCCAUGCCGCGUGAAUGAUGAAGGUCUGAGGAUUGUAAAAUUCUUUCACCGGGGACGAUAAUGACGGUACCCGGAGAAGAAGCCCCGGCUAACUUCGUG